CCGAAAGGUUCCGAGUUUGGAAUGUUGCACCAACCUUCCGGAACCGCUACCGAUUAUGGCGGAUUCAUUCGGAAGCGAUUCCGAAAUUUUGGUUGAAUUUACCCAUCACUAGUCGCCAGCUGGCGCCGUUUGACGUUUCACACACACGCUCGUCCGAGUUUGUUUUGCCAAUGUGUGCUACGAUCGAUUUCCAGUGAAAAGGGCCUCGUACCUUGUACAGCCGCAAACGAACGAAAGGCACCCAAAACAGUCCGUUGAUUUGUGAACUUUCUCAUACUAAUUGCAUGAGAAAGUAUAAUUUAUGAAUGAUCCAUAUCGAUGCCAACCCCAUUACGCCCUCACAGAGUUAGAACGCAAAAGGGAAAUAAUCCAAACCCAGAGCGCUUUUAGUAUUAUGUAUCAGCUGUGUUUGAUUUCAUGAUCCCCCACUCACUCACUCGACUAUAUUUAAAAUCUAUUUGGCCCCGCUGACACACCUGAUAAAAGGCUGCAGCGCAAUACAUUACCAGUGGACAAAUCAA